rnacentral:rRNA from 1 species
AGGACGAACGCUGGCGGCGUGCUUAACACAUGCAAGUCGAACGGAAAGGCCCGCUUGCGGGUACUCGAGUGGCGAACGGGUGAGUAACACGUGGGCAACCUGCCCUCAGCUUUGGGAUAACACAAAGAAAUUUGUGCUAAUACCGGAUAAUAGACGGCCGCGCAUGUGGUUGUUUUGAAAGUUUUUCGGCUGGGGAUGGGCCCGCGGCCUAUCAGCUUGUUGGUGGGGUAAUGGCCUACCAAGGCGACGACGGGUAGCCGGCCUGAGAGGGCGACCGGCCACACUGGAACUGAGACACGGUCCAGACUCCUACGGGAGGCAGCAGUGGGGAAUAUUGCGCAAUGGGCGGAAGCCUGACGCAGCGACGCCGCGUGAGGGAUGAAGGUCUUCGGAUUGUAAACCUCUUUCAGCAGGGACGAAGCGCAAGUGACGGUACCUGCAGAAGAAGCACCGGCCAACUACGCGCCAGCAGCCGC